GAUUCUCGACGUGUUUCUUAGAUUGAUGUCUGAUGUUGAUUGUGCGAUGAUUGUUUGCUGGAAGGGUAACUUUCUAGUGUGCGUCUUUGUAGUAAAACCAUUAGAGGUUGAUGUAAGAAUAAUUUAAUAAAUUUAAAUUAGUUUAUGAUAAUUCAUGUGAAAGGGUACAGCUAUGUAUAAAAUGAUGCAAAUAAGUUUUGAUAAAUAUUUGUAACUUGAUGGAAGUUAUGAAUCAAUGUUUAAAAGUGGUCCAAUGACAUUAAUUAAUUCUAGUAAUUAGUCACAAAUAUAAAAGUCCUUUUGAAUAUGCGCAGUCGAGACGCGAAAUUCUUUGCAUACUUAUUCAGGUUGCUUUCCACUUGACAAUUUGUGCAAUUCAUAUUUUUAAUUAUGUUCUAGAGCUUGAUACACGUUUGGGGACAAAUGAGACACCUUAUCCUUCUAAGUUUUGUCUCUUUACAAAUUUU
rnacentral:lncRNA from 1 species